UCACAAUCUAAUUGGUGAUUUACAAUUAACUUAAUUUUUCUCUUCUUUUUUUUCUCGUCAAUCUAAUAAAGUGUAUUCUCCCUGUAUUCUCGAUUGCUAAUUGCUCUCAUGUGUAAAUAGAAAGUGGCUACAAGUUGUUCCCAUAACAUUUUCCAUUUUUUUUUUCUUCUCUCUUACCUUUACCUUUUUGCCUUCUGAUUUUGUUUUUUUUUCUCUCUUUCUUUUUUCUUUCUUUUUUUUUCUCUUCUCGCAUGUUCUUUGGUUAAGCAAAUAUGUAUUAUUAGAGCCAAAAAAAGGAACAAAAUUUCACUGAUUGUUGGGUGAUGAUCGUGUUACAAUUAACAAUGAUGAUGGAGGUAAUAAUUAUGUUCACCAUGGUGGUGAUGAUGAUUCUGUGGUUUUAACGAUAACAUGGGAACCAUAAAAAUCCAGGAGAUACAACAUAAAAAGAAAACGGAAGAGAAAAAAGAAGAAAAAAGUUCUCUCAUCCUCAUCAUCAUCCCUCUCUCUCUCUCUCUCCCAUCUUGUUGUCAAUCAUUGACAAAAUUUAUUGUUUACAAUCAAUGGACUAUUUUCCCUGAUUCUCAUCUCUUGUCUUUCCAUCAACAAUCAACAAUCAACACAACGGUAACAAGUAAAACCCUAAAACGAUGUCAUAAAAUCAUUUGCCCUCUCAACUCGUUAACCUGUUGAUGUUAUUUUCUUGUUGUUGUUGUUGAUUGCUGAUCGUUUGCUGAUUGUUAUGAUUGAUAUUGAUUGUUUGAACCAAAAAAGCCUUCACUAAUAUCUAGUAUAUUUAACUACAACCAGUUUUUGACCGAUGGACAAGAAAACGUUUUGCUCAUUUUAAGGAUAAACAUUGGAAACUCUCAUUCAUUAAAUAUGAGUGAUAAUUGAAGUUGAGAAACGUUUAGUUAUCAUUUGGGAUUAGAUUGGAUUAAGAUUAUGGAUUAAAGGUUAAGUAGUAAAAAGGGUUUACCUGAAAAGGAACACCUUUAAUCUCACCAAAGGUAAGCUUUUUGUUCUAAAUUCAUUUAACAUUGACAUUUUAUUAUCUUUCGUUUAUCGUCUUUGCUCUCUCUCUCUCUCUCUCUCUCUCUCUCUCUCUCUCUCUCUCUCUCUCUCUCUCAACCUCCUCAUCCUCUCCUACUUCUUGGGAGGGUGAAGGUAGGAGGUAAUAGGAUGAGAAGAGGAGGAAGGGGAGUGAAUGUAAAGGGUCACUUGAUGUCUUUGGGUCAGUUGGUGUUGGGUUAAUGGACAAAUUGGCUUAAGAAGGGAACCGGAGAGUCGACAAGAUACAAUGGAAAAAGUUACUUCAGGGAGACAAAAGAAUAAUCAAUGAUUGUGAUUAUUGAUUAUUGACAAUUAAUUAAUCGAUUAGCGGAUAGAGAAAGAAAAAGGAAAAGAGGAUCAUCCAAGGAGAAAGAAGAAGAUGGAAAUUGUUACUCUUCAGAUUGAUGGACAUCAAGAAAAGAAGAAGAAGCGACCAAAAACUUAUGAUGACCAAAAAUUGGACCGAAAUUUGACCCAAAGAAAGAAAAGAUCAACUAGAAAGGGUUAAUGCUGUUGACGGAAAAGUGACCUUUAAGGGUCAUUAAGAGGAGAUAAACACGGACACUGCAGAGACUCAUUAAUAAUGAAUAAAUUAACAAUUCAUUUGUCAAUUGUGUUCAAGGUGAUGGUCACCUUUUUAACUUUUCUUAUUUUCCUGUUGGUCACUUUUCAUCAGUUGUGUCCAGUUAACAAUCAAGAAGAUUCGAUUUCAAUGACCAUUGAAACUUUUUCCACAUGAAAAGAUUUUCUCCUUUCUUUCUAAAUACUUUGGUUCCAAUUGCUUUUAUCUUGGUUUUACUUUAUUUACACUUUUCCAUUCUUACUUUUUUUCUUCCUGAUGAAGAUGAUGAUACAUCUGAUGGAGAUUGAAGAUGAUGAUCCAAAGUGACCAUCACAAUGUGAACUUCACCUCCCACUUUAUCCUCUUCUUCAGUAUCAUCAUCAUCUUCACCAGUCUCAAAACUCAGAGAAUGAUUUCCAACAGAGAAUCACAGUUGGAAUUAAGGGUUGACUUUUCUUCCUUUCUCUUUCUUUCUCCCUUUCUUUUCUUCUCUCUCUCUCUCUCUCUCUCUCUCUCUCUCUCUCUCUCUCUCUC